GUGCAACAUCAUUUUGGCAUGUGCCGUCUUGCACAACAUGGCUGAGAUAAACCGUGUGCCAUUUGACGCGCUGGCCCCAGACCCAGAAGUGCCAGUGGAGCAGUGGGCAGCACCACCGGCUUUAGGAGCUGUUCAGCUCAGACGGGACCUUAUUCGGCGGUUUUAAGGGACCUCAUCCGUCAGGACCCUUGGCCGUGGCGCACGGGAGGCUGGUGGACGGGCCUCGGCUUCCCCCGCUUGCACCUGCUCAGGCUCUGGGUGGGGCGCAAGGAUAGGCUCAGGCUCCUGGAUGGGCUGAGGGGGAGAUGCCUCGAGGGCGCUGGGGCCUGCAGUGCCAUCACCUGCAAAACAAUAGAGCAAAAUUUAAAUAAAAUGAGUUAACUAUG